rnacentral:misc_RNA from 1 species
AAGACUAUAGACCUGCGGAGUACCUGCGGAGGGAUCAUUACCGAGUGCGGGCCCUCUGGGUCCAACCUCCCACCCGUGUCUAUUGUACCUUGUUGCUUCGGCGGGCCCGCCAUUCUGGCCGCCGGGGGGCUUGCCCCCGGGCCCGCGCCCGCCGAAGACACCCUCGAACUCUGUCUGAAGAUUGUAGUCUGAGUGGAAUUAUAAAUUAUUAAAACUUUUAGCAAUGGAUCUCUAGAUCGG